rnacentral:ncRNA from 2 species
GGAGCUGACACGGGGUGUCCCACCGGGGACUGAGAGCACACCCGUCGAACCUGCUCCAGUUGGUACUGGCGAAGGGAUGUCACGGCGAUGGACG